rnacentral:piRNA from 1 species
UGUGAGUUCGUUGGCCAAUGCCUUGCUUU